rnacentral:tmRNA from 1 species
GGGGGUGUCAAGGUUUCGACGGGGAUCGGAAGCGAAGGUGGCAUGCCGGGGACGCCAGUGGGCCUCGUUAAAAAACUGGCAACAAUACAAACGCCGACUCUGACGUUUCGUACGCACUGGCAGCUUAAUUGCUGCCUCGUCUCUUUCCUUAUCGCCCGCGUAGGGUCUGAGACGUCAAUUUAGUGGGCUAGUCUCUGCAAGUGACUGCGGUGCAGAGGCGAAAUAAAGCAGACUCGCCCGGUUCAAAUCCUGUCUGUGGGAGCGGCUCCGGGUUAAACUCAAAACACCGACUAAGCAUGUAGAAGCCUUACGUGAAAGGUUUUCGGACGCGGGUUCGAUUCCCGCCACCUCCACCA